rnacentral:rRNA from 1 species
GACGAACGCUGGCGGCGUGCCUAAUACAUGCAAGUCGAACGCUUUUUCUUUCACCGGAGCUUGCUCCACCGAAAGAAAAAGAGUGGCGAACGGGUGAGUAACACGUGGGUAACCUGCCCAUCAGAAGGGGAUAACACUUGGAAACAGGUGCUAAUACCGUAUAACACUAUUUUCCGCAUGGAAGAAAGUUGAAAGGCGCUUUUGCGUCACUGAUGGAUGGACCCGCGGUGCAUUAGCUAGUUGGUGAGGUAACGGCUCACCAAGGCAACGAUGCAUAGCCGACCUGAGAGGGUGAUCGGCCACACUGGGACUGAGACACGGCCCAGACUCCUACGGGAGGCAGCAGUAGGGAAUCUUCGGCAAUGGACGAAAGUCUGACCGAGCAACGCCGCGUGAGUGAAGAAGGUUUUCGGAUCGUAAAACUCUGUUGUUAGAGAAGAACAAGGAUGAGAGUAAAA